UACGUAGGGUGCAAGCGUUGUCCGGAAUUAUUGGGCGUAAAGAGCUCGUAGGCGGUUCGUCGCGUCGGCUGUGAAAACCUGAGGCUCAACCUCAGGCCUGCAGUCGAUACGGGCGGACUUGAGUACUGCAGGGGAGACUGGAAUUCCUGGUGUAGCGGUGAAAUGCGCAGAUAUCAGGAGGAACACCGGUGGCGAAGGCGGGUCUCUGGGCAGUAACUGACGCUGAGGAGUGAAAGCGUGGGGAGCGAACAGG
rnacentral:rRNA from 1 species